GUAGUUCUCCUUCAGAUGUCAAGUCCCUGCAAAAUGCAGGAUCUCGGCUUCCCGGUCCUUCAUUUCUGCCUUCCUCCUGCUCGCUCUGAACUCCGCCUUGUAUUUCAAGUAUCCUUCAUAUAUUUCUAUGUAAAGGUACAUAUUAUGCCUUCCCAUCUCUCACCCUAAGAUGCUAUUUAACCCUCUCCUCUGGGCUAAACCUGUAGGCUCCUCUGCCACCUCCACCACACGCACACCCCUAGCUCCAAGGGCGGGGGGAUCCAAGGACUCGGCGCCUAGCUACCCACGGGCACUACAGCCACCUCCCUCAGAAUUAGAUCAUCUUACGCUGAUUAAGAGAGUUCAAGACCAGCACGGCUUGACAGCCAGGUCUGCAUAAACAAGCCGAGGGAAUUUUUAAUAGCCCGUCGGAAAGCCGGCUUGCCGGGACCCGGGGCGGGGGCCCAAAGCACCCCGGAGUCGUUCACGGCGCUGACCAGGGGCUCGGCGGAGGAAGUCUGACUUCAGCCCCAAAGAGGAUCCCUCAUCUGCCGUGAACUGGAAUGCCAGGGGCGACAGAGAUGUGAAUUUUCUUCUGCUUCUUCAACCUCUCCCUCAACCAAGGACUUGAAGAGCAAGGAUAUCUCAGUUUUAUAUCCUCCUGCUAAAUGAGACUGCUGGCAAGGAUCCUUAGAGUCAUAUGGGACUGGACUGCUUAGUCGGAAGGGCCACGUCCCACACAACUUGACUCAGCUGCGGCAUUUAGAACAUGACCGACAAGACCCAGCUUCUUCCUCCUCUUUCACGAGCGGAGCCCCGCAGCCUCCGGCGGUUUUGAGGUAGGUAUCGGCGAAAGGAGAAGGGGAGGCCGGGCAGCAGCCAGCCUGGC